rnacentral:lncRNA from 10 species
UCACCAUAAACCAACAACCCUAGAAAAACCUGCUUUGUUGUCCUGAAGGAGCUGUUAUUGUUCAGAAUAUUUUACAUGUAAGUGAAACCUGAGAGUUCUUCUUCCUUCCUUUUAUAAUUUGUCAUUGGGAACUUCCAUUUUUAUUUAUUCUUUCACAUUUAGCACCUGAAUACUUAUGGGAUCUGCAAAAGUACAUAUUGAAAUAUGCAAAUGGUAUAUAGCAUGUGAAUUUCUGCUCCAGCUGGCUGGGGACCAUCAUGACAAGGGAAUGUGAUCAAGAAGACAAACACAUAGAUAUCAUGAAGAAAAGAAAACGGAAGAUACCAAUAUACUUUAUUCUGAGCCAAGGCAAAGUCCAUCUGACAACAGCAGAUUGGACAAUAACUGAAAAUGUAGUCUGUAAGGAAGCUUAAUAAUAAGAUAUACAUCUCUUUAUAUUUCACUAAAUGGCUAAAGAAUGCGGAAAACUUAUGUUUAUACAAAAACCAGCAGACUGACAUUUAUAGCAGCUUUAUCCAUAACUGUCAACAUUUGGAAGCAACCAAGAUGUCCUUUAGCAGGUGAAUUGAUAAAUAAAACUGUGGCACAUCCAGACAAGGGAAUAUUAUUCAGCACUAAAAAUAAAGGAGCUAUCAAGCCAGGAAAAAACAAGGAGGAAACUCACAUGCAUAUUGCUAAGUAAAAGAAGCCAGCCUGGAAAAGCUGCAUACUGUAUGAUUCCAACUCUGUGACAUUCUGGAAAAGUAAAACCCUGGAGGCAGUAAAGAGAUCAGUGGUUGCCAGAAGUUAGGAGGAAAGGAGGGAUGAAUAGGCAGGGCACAGAGGAUUUUUAGGGCAGUGAAACUACUCUGUGUGGUCCUGUAAUGGUGGUUUAAUGUCAUUAUGCAUUUGGCCACACCCAUAGAAUGUACACCACCAAGAGUGAACUCUAAUGUAAACUGUGGACUUUGGGUGAUAAUGAUGUGUCAGUGUGGGUUCAAUUGUAACAAAUGUGCCACUCUGGUGGGGGAUGGUGAUAAUGCGGAGCUGUGCACGUGGGGUGGGCAGGGGCAUGCGGGAAAUCUCUGUCCCUUCCUCUCAAUUUUGCAGUAAACUUUAAAGCUCUUAAAAAGUAAGUAUUUUUUAAACAAGAAAGAAACAAGGUGAACUAAAUGUACAGCUAGAUCUAACAUAAGGAAAUAAGAAUUGCUAUUAAUUUACAUAUAUUAACUAAUUAAUUGUGAACCUUUUUAAAAUACCAUUGUGAACUGUAAUGUAUUUUAUAUUCAAAUGAAUCCUCAGCCUUCUUCAUUGUAAAUAUUAGCUGAACAAAUGAGUAAAUAAAAAUCGACUUCAUAGAAAAUCAAGUGAGUCCGGUCAUAGCCAGAUAACAGUGUUUAACCCACAAAAGAUAUGCAAUUGUUCUUUAAAACAGUAAGAGGAUUAAUACAAAAUUAUUAAAGUUUAUAUUAAAGACAUAAAUGUAAUCUUUACAAAUAAUUUUCUUAUGGAUAAAUUAUGCUUACUGUAGUUAUUAGCCGGAACUUGCAAUAAUCUCCAUAUUAAGACAACCAAGACAACAAUUAGUUUGUUUUAAGGCACCUGCCAACUUAUAUACUAGAAAAUAAAAGUUUUCCAAGUGAAAAAACAGCUUUGCUCAGAAUUUAAAACACUCUACUGGAUAGCCUGCUUAACAGCACUAGGAAAACAAAAAUUCUAUGCAUCAAAAGAUGAAUGAAAAGAGAAACAAUAAACCAGGAUGAAGAUACAUACAAACCCAAUGGCUUCAUAUCUAGAAUACAUAAAGAACUCCCACAAAUCAAUAAGAAAAAGAGAAGCAGCCCAAUAGAAAAAUGGCAAAGUAUGUGAACACAGAAUCUAUGAAAGAGAAAAUUCAAAUACUCCAAAACAUUUUUAAAUAUGUUCAACCUCUGGCUGGGCACAGUGGCUCACGCCUAUAAUCCCAGCAAUUUGGGAGGCUAAGGCAAGUGGCUCUCUUGAGGCCAGCCUGGACAACAUGGCAAAACCCUGUCUCUGCUAAAAACACAAAAAUUAGCUGGGUGUGGUGGCACAUGCCUGUAAUCCCAGCUACUCAGGAGGCUGAGGCACAAGAAUCACUUAAGCAUGGGAGACCAAGGUUGCAGUGAGCUGAGAUCACACCACUGCACUCCAGCCUGGGCAACAGAGCAAGGCUUUGUCUCAAAAAAAAAAGUUUAACCUCAAAAUACUUACAGAGAUGCAAAUAAAACCAUUAGAUUUCAUACUUAUCAAAUUCAUUAAAGUUUUCCAAUUCUGGCAACACAUUAUUUUGGCAAGUAUAUGAAGUAACACAGCUGAUGGAACUAUAAACUUGUACAAUCGAUUUGGAGAAAAUUUGGGAAUAUAUAUAUAUAUAUAUAUAUCAGAUUUGAAACUACUCACAGCCUAUGACUCAGCAAUUCCAAACCUGAAGAAACUCCUGUCCACAUGCCCAAGAAGAUCUCUUUAAGAAUGUUCACAGCAUUAUUUAUUUCUAAAUAAUACAAAACUGAAAAUGUUACACAUGCUCCUUCAAGAAUAAAAUGUGUAAGCAAACUGUGAUGUAUUCAUAAAUAAAAAUAGUUAAAACAUGCAAACCAGAUAUCUGUAUCUAUCUAUAUUUUUAUCAGCAUGAAUAAAUGCCCAGAACAUAGCACUAAAAGAAAAAAGCAAGUUGGAAGGACAAAUACAGUUUAAUAAUACUUUUAUGAAGUUUUAAAUAUAUGCAAAAGAGCACCAUGAAUUGAUUAUUAAUGCAAACAUAUACUAUAAAAAUAUAAUGAUAUGUAUGAGAAUGAUAGACAUUAAAUUCAGGAAACUAAUGAUCUCAGCUUGGGAGGGAGGGGAACAGGGUAAGAGUGUGGGGGCUUUAACUGUACCUAUAAUGUUUUUUGUUUUUUGUUUUUUUAAGCUGGGUGGCUAGUUCUUCGGUGUUUAUUAAAUAUAUUCUUCAUAGUUUUUGUUUUCUUAAAAAUACUUCAUAAUUUAAAACUAAAAAUGGCAUCUGCCUCACAACCCCUAACAAGGCCUUUCCCAGUUUCCCAUUAACAUAAAGAUGC